GGCGCUGUUCAUCGUCCCGACACUUGGGCGGAGUUGAAAUCCGUGUAGGUCGGUUCGACUCCGGCUCGCGCCUCCA
rnacentral:tRNA from 1 species